AUUGAACGCUGGCGGCAGGCUUAACACAUGCAAGUCGAGCGGAGAUGAGGUGCUUGCACCUUAUCUUAGCGGCGGACGGGUGAGUAAUGCUUAGGAACCUGCCUAUUAGUGGGGGACAACAUUCCGAAAGGAAUGCUAAUACCGCAUACGUCCUACGGGAGAAAGCAGGGGAUCUUCGGACCUUGCGCUAAUAGAUGAGCCUAAGGCGGAUUAGCUAGUUGGUGGGGUAAAGGCCUACCAAGGCGACGAUCUGUAGCGGGUCUGAGAGGAUGAUCCGCCACACUGGGACUGAGACACGGCCCAGACUCCUACGGGAGGAAGCAGUGGGGAAUAUUGGACAAUGGGGGGAACCCUGAUCCAGCCAUGCCGCGUGUGUGAAGAAGGCCUUAUGGUUGUAAAGCACUUUAAGCGAGGAGGAGGCUACUGAGACUAAUACUCUUGGAUAGUGGACGUUACUCGCAGAAUAAGCACCGGCUAACUCUGUGCCAGCCGCCGCCGUAACAC
rnacentral:rRNA from 1 species